rnacentral:rRNA from 1 species
CGUUCUCGCCGGAUGUAGGAACCGACCCGGGGACCGCCGGGGCAACCCGGCGCCCCCCGAGACGGGGCGAACCACGGUGAAAUGACGGAUCGUCGGCCCCGCGCCGGCGACUCGCCGAAUGAGUUUCUGACCUAUCAACUCGAGACGGCGGGGUAGAGGCCCGCCGCGGUAACGACGGGUAACGGGGAAUCAGGGUUCGAUUCCGGAGAGGGAGCCCCGAGAAACGGCUACCACUUCCAAGGAAGGCAGCAGGCGCGCAACUUACCCUAAUCUCGAUUCGAGGAGGUAGUGACAAGAAAUACCGAUGCGGGACCCUACGGGUGCCGCGUUCGGAAUGAGUACGAUUCGAACGGUCCGGUGAGGACCCAGGACGGCGCGGGACCCGAGGGGCCGAAAGGCUCCGCGACCCGUGUCGGAAUCCGUCCGAACCUUACCGUUUAGAGGAAGGAG